AUUGAACGCUGGCGGCAGGCCUAACACAUGCAAGUCGAACGAGAGGCGGACGGGUGAGUAAUGUCUGGGAACCUGCCUGAUAGCUGGGGAUAACUACUGGAAAAGGUAUCUAAUACCGCAUUCCAUCGGCUGUGCCCAUAUGGGAAUCGCUAGUAGGUGGGGUAAAGUCUCACCCAGACGACGAUCCCUGGCUGGUCUGAGAGGAUGACCAGCCACACUGGAACUGAGACACGGUCCAGACUCCUACGGGAGGCAGCAGUGGGGAAUAUUGCACAAUGGGCGCAAGCCUGAUGCAGCCAUGCCGCGUGUGUGAGGAGGGCCUUCGGUUGGUAAAGUACUUUCAGCGGGGAGGCGUUACCCGCAGAAGAAGCACCGGCUAACUCCGUGCCAGCAGCCGCGGUAAUAC
rnacentral:rRNA from 1 species